rnacentral:rRNA from 1 species
GACGAACGCUGGCGGCGUGCUUAACACAUGCAAGUCGAGCGGUAAGGCCCUUUUGGGGGUACACGAGCGGCGAACGGGUGAGUAACACGUGGGUGACCUGCCCUCAGCUCUGGGAUAAGCCUGGGAAACUGGGUCUAAUACUGGAUAUGACCUUUCCUCGCAUGGGGUUGGGUGGAAAGUUUUUCGGCUGGGGAUGGGCCCGCGGCCUAUCAGCUUGUUGGUGGGGUGAUGGCCUACCAAGGCGACGACGGGUAGCCGGCCUGAGAGGGCGACCGGCCACACUGGGACUGAGGCACGGCCCAGACUCCUACGGGAGGCAGCAGUGGGGAAUAUUGCGCAAUGGGCGGAAGCCUGACGCAGCGACGCCGCGU